rnacentral:rRNA from 1 species
GACGAACGCUGGCGGCGUGCUUAACACAUGCAAGUAGAACGGAAAGGCCCUGCUUUUGUUGGGUGCACGAGUGGCGAACGGGUGCGUAAGACGGGAGUACCCUUCCCUUGCCUUUCGGAUAACUUCAGGAAACUGGGGCUAAUACCGGAUAGGAGCUCCUGCUGCAUGGUGGGGGUUGGAAAGUUUCGGCGGUUGGGGAUGGACUCGCGGCUUAUCAGCUUGUUGGUGGGGUAGUGGCUUACCAAGGUAUUGACGGAUAGCCGGCCUGAGAGGGUGACCGGCCACAUUGGGACUGAGAUACGGGCCAGAGUCCUACGGGAGGCAGCAGUGGGGAAUAUUGCGCAAUGGGCGGAAGCCUGAUGCAGCAACGCCGCGUGCGGGAUGACGGCCUUCGGGUUGUAAACCGCUUGCGCCUGUAACGAAGCGUGAGUGACGGUAAUGGGUAAAGAAGCACCGGCUAACUACGUG